rnacentral:tRNA from 1 species
GCUUCGGUGGUGUAAUGGUCAGUAUGGCAGACCGGAUAUCCGUAAGUGUUGGUUCGAGUCCCGCCUGAGGUU